GACGAACGCUGGCGGCGUGCUUAACACAUGCAAGUCGAACGGUGAAGGGGCCUGCUUUUGUGGGCCCUGGAUGAGCGGCGAACGGGUGAGUAACACGUGAGUAACCUGCCCCCUUCUUCUGGAUAACCGCAUGAAAGUGUGGCUAAUACGGGAUAUUCUGGGUCUGUCGCAUGAUGGGUCUGGGAAAGAUUGCGCCUUUGGGUGUUUUUGGUGGGGGAUGGGCUCGCGGCCUAUCAGCUUGUUGGUGGGGUGAUGGCCUACCAAGGCGGUGACGGGUAGCCGGCCUGAGAGGGUGGACGGUCACACUGGGACUGAGACACGGCCCAGACUCCUACGGGAGGCAGCAGUGGGGAAUAUUGCACAAUGGGCGCAAGCCUGAUGCAGCGACGCCGCGUGAGGGAUGGAGGCCUUCGGGUUGUAAACCUCUUUCGCCAGUGAAGCAGGCCUGCUCCUUGUGGGUGGGUUGACGGUAGCUGGAUAAGAAGCGCCGGCUAACUACGUG
rnacentral:rRNA from 1 species